GAGUGGCAGACGGGUGAGUAACGCGUGGGACCAUACCCUUUUCUACGGAAUAGCUCUGGGAAACUGGAAUUAAUACCGUAUACGCCCUACGGGGGAAAGAUUUAUCGGGGAAGGAUUGGCCCGCGUUGGAUUANCUAGUUGGUGGGGUAAAGGCCUACCAAGGCGACNAUCCAUAGCUG
rnacentral:rRNA from 1 species